rnacentral:lncRNA from 1 species
AUCCCAGAAAUAAUUUAAUCUUUAAAUUUCCCAUGGCCAGAAGUACCUGAGCCAUUGUCCUGUUAUGUUUUAUAGACCCAGUGUGUUGGCAUUUUAAAAAUAUGUAUGUUCCUUAAAUAAUUUUAUUAUGAUUAGUAGGACCAUCUAGAAGUUUAUUCUCCUAGAAGAUGAGGAUUUGCUCUAUAAUUAUCUCUUCUCUUUAGAAACUUAGCUAAUCCAUCUUUUUGGAACAUAGAGUUUUAACCCUUCUUUUGCUUUGUAAUUGCAUGUACCAAAAGUGCUGAUUAACCAUUGGAUCCUCUUCCUUACAGUUAUUAUGUAUGACCAUUGGUGUUCCUCAGUACUCCUGCUUUUCCUGGGAUUACUUAUCUACUCAUUGUUCUCUUUCUAUGUUUACUGUGGUAUCUGAAUAGAAGUAAUAUAUCUGUAACUUAUAAUUAGAUAUGUCAUUAGUAGAAAAAACAAAGUCCUUAUAUAUUAAUAUUCUUCUACUUAUUAAAAUAUACUAUUCUACUCAUUCUAUUUAUUUCAUAUAAAUGUUUUAUUUAUCCUUUUAUAUUACAGCUACCAUUAUCAAUACUUUAUAUUACCUUUUAUUCAUUGAGUAUCAUUAUGAACUUAGAAUCUUUUUCGGGUUUAAUAUAUUCCAGUUAACUACAAUAAAACUGUUAUUUGAAGUUCAGAUUUCAAAUGUGUGAGCCCCUGACAUCCUCCUUUGUGUUGACGUUCUUAAAAGCAUUAUUGCUUUCUAGUAUCAACAAGUUAUUAUAGACCCUCCUGAUCUCUUCCUGCCAUAAGACAUACUCAUAACAUCCUUCCAAGGAACCAAUUCUUUUUCCUCAUUGCAGGGAAUUAUGUUAGAGACCAAAGUCUGGAUAUUAGAGAAGCACAAAAGAGUGGAUGGAGGGCAAAACCACAGCUACUAAAGGUGUUGUUGGACUGCUUUUAGUAGAGAGCUGGAAAUAUCUAUACAAAUUCGCAUUAAUAUUUCUUAUUUAACUUGUCACAUUCCCAUACCCUGCAUUUUUUUAAACAAAACAAAAUAGUUUUGUAUGUGAUUUCACUGACUAUUUGGAUUUUCUCCUGUUUAACAUUCCUAGCAUUCUGGAAGGGUAAGAUAAAGGAUGAGUGAUGAAGCCUGAAUGUGAUGAAGCACUAGUUGGUGAUGGUUUUGGGGAAGAGAUGUGAUUAUGUUGAAUGUAAAGAUGGUAUAAGAGUCAAUUGUUUAUUCAAUUAAGCCUAUUAAGUGCCAGGCCUUAUACUAAAUGUUGAUGAUGAUGUCUCUACACUGUGUAGUCUAUAAUCUCGCAGUGGAGGCAUUCAUGCGACAAAUAAUUUUACAUAUAACUGAAAUGACAACUUCAAAUGAAACAGGUGAUCUGAAAAUGUAUUAUAGGAAGAGAUUAACCUAGUUUGGGGUAUUAGAGUUUAGAUAGACGGGAGCAAGGAAAAGGCACUUGAUAGAUGGGUGUAAAGAACAGUGAACUAUGUUCAGAAGAACUUACUGUAUUUGGAGAUUAUACAAUGCUGACACAGAUAGGAAAUGAAAUUGUAGCUACUGAAGAUUUAUGGUUUUCAAAGAAAUAAUGUAUUUUUAUUCCAAAUCUUUGCGAAUUAAAAAAAGGAUCAAUGGAGUUCCUCUUGUGGAAAUGAAUCCAUGAGGAUGUGAUUUGAUCCAUGAGGAUGUGAUUUGAUCCAUGAGGAUGUGGGUUCAGUCCCUGCCUCGAUUAGUGGGCCAGGGAUCCGGCAUUGCCAUUAGCUGUGGUGUAGGUUGUGGACAUGGCUAGGAUCCCACAUUGCUGUGGCUGUAGCAUACGCUAGCAGCUAUAGCUCCAAUUUGAUGCCUAGCCUGGGAACUUCCAUAUGCUGCAGAUGUGGCCCCUAAAAAACAAACAAACAAACAAACAGGAUCACAGUUUAUAGACUGUGUUAGACUAAGAAUACAAAAGAGUUGAGGGAUGUUUUACCGGCUCAUAAUGUCAAUGUUUUUCAGCAAAUAUGCACUGACAUUGUUUAACACAAAUUCCCCCGAAAGGUGUAUGAUUGCCUCUGAGAGGGUCAUUAUAUACUUGGGUCAUUAGCAGUUUAAUAUUAUUUCUCAAAAUAAUUAUACCCCCGGUCAAGUGAAUAGAGCUAGACAAUUUUAAGGGUUUUAAAAUCUAGACUUAAUUUUAUACACAUAAGGAAAACUGACUUAGCAAGGUUGAGGAAUUGUCCAUGAUCAGAUUGUUAUAUAGAGCUGCAUGGAUAGAAUAUUUUCAUUUUCUUUGCAAAGUUCAGGGCUUUUUCCCAGCUCCUUCCCUUCUUUGACUCUUGUUUUAGAAACCUGUGCCCAUGUAACACUUGCAGUGUUAGAAUUAUUCCUGAGAACAUUCUGGAAUGGGUGAUGGUGGGCUGUGAGAGCAGUGGGAACAGGUUUUGAGCCUUUUCCCACAAAUAUCUGAAAUUUAAAUAUAUGGCAUUGAUUUUGAGGUGACAAAAUAUUCAAAAUAAUAAAGUUUUAUCUGUGGGGCCACUAAGAUGAUUUCCCUAUCUUGUUAUCAGGGCACCAUAAAACAUAAUAUUUUAAUAUCUUUAAUGUCUUGUUUAAUUUCCCUUGUGCAUGUUAGUUGGUAUGAAUCAUUACAUUAUUGAGUCUUUGGGGCAAGUGUCUCUAUCUUCUAUAAUUUUGAUGACUGUCUCCAGUGUCUGGUCAUCUGAAAAUUAAGCAAUAGAUAAGAACAUUUGCAUAAUAAGAGCAUCGGUCAAUCUUAUUACUGGUAGACAUUUCAGAGGAAGUAAUCAAAAAAUUUCCCAACAUCGUCUUAUCAGGUUUUUCUGCCUGAAUCAUUAUAGAAGGCAGAUAACUUAGAAGUGGGGGAGUCUGGGGAAAUGUUCUUAUUGAAACACGGAAGUGCUUCCUUAACUCCUCUACCAGUAUGGAGUAAAGGAAGAAUCUAGUUUGCUCAAUUUUUUUCUAAGAAAAAGUAAUAUUUUUUGAUUGGAUAUGCUCCAAGAAAAUAAACUCAAGUCAUUUAAUGAAUAGUUAUAUCUUAAUAUGUAUUCAGUUUAUACCUUUGAUAGAUAUUGCAAUCAGUAGCUCUUAGCACUUGCCAAAUUAUUAGUGUGUUCCCAGCCCUUGUGAUGGAGAUAAAACAUUCAAAGCACAAACCUGGCAGCUUAUUGGAAGUAAAGCCUAGAGAUAUGAAUUCAUAGAGGUAUAAAUUGGUUUAGUUUCAGUUAAAAAAAAAUAGAUGGCCCAAAUGUAUAAUGGUGCAAUAAAACAGAACUUUAUGACUCAUUUAUGAAAGAGUUUGAGAUGGGUGUUCUUGGUUGGCAGAUGGGUUUCCUAUACAUAGUAAAUCAGGGAUCUUUCCCUCUUAGAGGCUCUGCCAUCCCCUCAGGGCAUCACCACAUCCAGCUGGUAAAAGGAGGAGCGGAGAUGGUAGGGACAUACCCUCCUUUUAAAAGUCUUAGCUCUUAGGUUCCAGUCCAUGUAGUUAACACUUAAUCAUACCCUGUAAACUUAUGCCCUGGUUACAGCCAUUGGCAGGACUGAUAUUCAUCUCAUAUGUAACUGGCGUGGCCACACAAAUUAUAGUCUUAGAGACUGCUCAUUGUAAAGCACAUCCCAUUUUUAGAGAUGUUAAAAUGUAGAAUUCAUUCUAGUUAACAAAUGCAAGGGAAAAUGUCACAGGAAAAAUGUUUUCUGGUACUCUGAUCACAAGAUGAGGGAAUCACCUUGGGGGCCCCACCAAUAAACAAUUUUUAAAAAUAUUUUUUGACAUCAAAAAGCAAUGACAUGGGAAGUUUCCUUCAUGGCUCAGCCGUUAACGAACCUGACUAGGAUCCGAGAGGAUGUGGAUUCAAUCCCUGGCCUCGCUCAGUGGGUUAAGGAUCCAGCAUUGCCGUGAGCUGUGGUGUAGGUCACAGACAAGGCUUGGAUCUGACGUUGCUGUGGCUGUGGUGUAGGCUGGCAGCUGUAGCUCUGAUUCAACCCUUUGCCUGGGAACAUCCAUAGCCACAGGUGUGGCCCUAAAAAG